rnacentral:rRNA from 1 species
GACGAACGCUGGCGGCGUGCUUAACACAUGCAAGUCGAACGGAAAGGCCCUGCUUUUGUGGGGUGCUCGAGUGGCGAACGGGUGAGUAACACGUGAGUAACCUGCCCUUUACUUUGGGAUAACUUCAGGAAACUGGGGCUAAUACCGGAUAGGAGCUCCUGCUGCAUGGUGGGGGUUGGAAAGUUCCGGCGGUUGGGGAUGGACUCGCGGCUUAGCAGCUUGUUGGUGGGGUAGUGGCUUACCAAGGCUUUGACGGGUAGCCGGCCUGAGAGGGUGACCGGCCACAUUGGGACUGAGAUACGGCCCAGACUCCUACGGGAGGCAGCAGUGGGGAAUAUUGCACAAUGGGCGGAAGCCUGAUGCAGCAACGCCGCGUGCGGGAUGACGGCCUUCGGGUUGUAAACCGCUUUCGCCUGUGACGAAGCGUGAGUGACGGUAAUGGGUAAAGAAGCACCGGCUAACUACGUG